UUUGCUUACUUGAAGAGGGCUUCCUCACGGCGAAAAUGAUCCCAGCUCAGAGAGGAAAAAAAAGUGAAAUCAUGGCCCGGAGGCUGAUAGUAGCAACAAAUGAGCUUGUUCACUGAAUGAAUCAGUAAACGCAUCUGCUUAACGUGAUCCUUUUGCAUAGAAGCUGGCUGUAGCCAUCUUUGCCUGCUCAGUCCUGGUACUAUUUACUGUGCUCAAUCCACAGACUUUCUUUCUGUGUGUCCCAGAAGGCAAAUAGACACGUAUGGAGUAGUAUGUCAUGGAAAGAGCCCUUGAGCUGGAACAAGAAAACCUUGAUUCAAAUGACCUGGGUGACGUUAUUCAUAACGUUUGGCUUGUUUAGGAAUCUAUUUUUCAUCAAACCCUGGAAGGCUAUAUGGAAAAAAGCACAGAACUUAACAAUGAAUUAA
rnacentral:lncRNA from 1 species